CGCAGGCUGACAGCUCUUGCCUGUGACAGCUCCAGCUGACACAUAUACAGUGCCAGCCUUCCCAGGCCCUGGGAGAAGCGGGGUGAGCUGGGAUGAGGUGAAGGAAAACCCCGAAGUAAAACAGAGACGAUGGGAGAAUUGGAGGCCGGGGUGAUAAACUCACCGAGCCCAGGGGUGAUGCUCGGGUGAUACUGAGUGAAAGAACGAAUACCUACAGUCCUCUUACGAACACCUGAAACUAUGGCAGGCUAACUUGCCAGCUCGCAGAGCACAGUAUCAGACUCUUCAGAGCUCUUGACACCAUGCCAGCACUGAACAGCAAUCACAGCGCAGAGCUCUACAGAAAUGAGGCCGACUUCCUAACUUUCUUCCUCGUGUUGUCAGACCGAGAGUGAUAACUUUGUUACGUGCUCUUGUGGACUCAGCAAGAUUGUACAAAGAACAUUUUGACCAAAAAAAUGAAAAUGAGUAGGAUCCAGGCACUACUUGUUCCUUUCGUAUUACCAUGCAGGGGAAGAAACCGUGUAUUUUCUUUGCCAGUUGCCGUCAGGUUUAUUGGGCUCCGGGUGUGAUUACCCAUGGGAGAGUGUGCCUCUUAAGGACCUUUCCUCAGUGGCCACACAGUGGGUACAACAAAGAACCUGAUUACAGUAAAGAUUGUAUGCAGCACAACUCAGGGUGGCCUAAUUAAAUCUCGUAUCAUGGCUGACAGCUGUGAAUUUGUUUAAAGAAUUUGUUGUGAAAGCUCCUCUGAUGUUUACUAUUGUUACUCAGACUUCAUGCAGUGAGAUUAUAGUUCAGGAGGUCCCUGAUACUGGAGGGUUAAUGCUAGCUCUCACUGUGCGUGUGAACGUGUGCGUGCGCACACGGACUGCCCUUCAGAACCUU
ensembl:lncRNA